GUUGGUGAACCAGCGGAGGGAUCAUUACCGAGUUAUAAACUCCAAACCCUUGUGAACAAUACCACUGUUGCUUCGGCAGGCGGGCCCAGGGCGGGCCUAUACAACGCCUGCCGAAAGACCCAAACUCUUCCAUCCUGCCCUCUGAAGAAAAAGACAAAUAGUUAAAACUUUCAACAACGGAUCUCUUGGUUCUG
rnacentral:misc_RNA from 1 species